ensembl:lncRNA FAM86C2P family with sequence similarity 86, member A pseudogene
GCCCACGUCAUGGCGCCCGAGGAGAACGCGGGGACCGAACUCUUGCUGCAGAGUUUGGAGCGCCGCUUCCUGGCGGCGCGUGCACUGCGCUCCUUCCCCUGGCAGAGCUUAGAAGCAAAGUUAAGAGACUCAUCAGAUUCUGAGCUGCUGCGGGAUAUUUUGCAGAAGGCCGGGCUGGGAUCAGAUGGGAAGUGGAACCUCGUCAUGACCAGAAACUGUUUCCCUACGAAGAGCACUUGGAGAUGGCAAUGCUGAACCUCACACUGUAGGACUCACAUACGACUCCAACGGGAUUGUGAGAAUCAAGUCACUCUAGUGGGAAGAGUUUUUAUAUGGGAAAGCGGAUAAAACUUUCAUUGGACUGGAAUGUUUGGAGAAUGUUAAUUUCCAAAUCAGGAACCACAAACUGCCCUCUAAUAAGACAUCAGCUAUCUAAGCAUGUGGGUGCUCCCUUUCUGCCAGCAGUUCUGGUUCUUAAGAAAAUCGCCAUCAAUCAGACAUGAAAUCUCUGGCUCCAAAAAUAGCAUUUUCUUUGUGCAAAUAAAAACGUGUGUAUCAAGUAUGAUGUUCCCCCAAUGUGGACACACUCGGUUCCCCACAAAGCCAAGCCCGCUGCAGCUGCCACAUCCCUGGACACAUUCGGUUCCUCACAAAGCCAAGCCCGCUGCAGCUGCCACAUCCGUGGACACACUCGGUUCUUCACAAAGCCAAGCCCACUGCAGCUGCCACAUCCCUGGGCUUACAGUGCAGCAGGUGCUUUUUUCAAGACAGGAAUCAAAAUGUUAGGAACACGGCGGAAAGAUGACACCUGGAGAGCAAACGCAGGAUGAGGAGUACUGCAGAGGUCACACGGAAGUCGCAGAACAGUAAUCCGCUAGCAGGGGCAUGGGGCGUGAAGAACAGAAGAAGAUAGGAAGUGUUUCCGAGCCUCCAGAAAAGAAAUCAGAGCCAAGCACAGCUUCCCGGGUCACAGAACCAAUUCAUUUACCAGGCGGCACCACUGCCGUCAUUUCACCUUCUGGCCACUGGGAGGCGCUGCUCGAAAGGGUUUGCCCUGAGACUCCGAGAAGAAGCUGCGGGAAGGACAGCAGGGGUCCCGGGGUUUUAGCCUCUGGCCCAGGAGUUAUGUGUCCAUAACCAAAUGGAGCACACUCUGCACCCAGCUCUCAUCCCAUCGGAGCUGCUGCGAUUCCCGCAGGUUCUUCCAGAACUGGUUUAGCUUGCCCGCAGGAUCAGGAAAGUUUGAGAAAAGCAUCUGCAAAAAAAUAAAGAGCAGAGCUUAACUCAUUUCCUGUCCCCACCCCAUCCCAGGUCACCACCUGGCUGACCCCAGGUCCCCGACCCAACAACAAACCCUCCCAAGUUCCUAACUCCCUCACUUGGACUCGAGACUCUUCACGCCCCAGCAGCGCUCCGCCUCCAACUUGACAUCACGCUUUCUGUCCCACUUUCCCACACUUCGUGCCCUGGAGCACCUCCCGGCCUCUACACGCUGUAUGUUCCCCUGCGAGCACCCUCCUCUUGGCCUCUGGCCAAGUCCCACCCAUCUGUGGGUAACAAGGGGGUGUUGGUGUUCUUUUCAGCCUUGCUAAACUGUCUGAAUCAAGGAUCACAAACUACAGCCUGCAGGCCAAAUCCAGCCCACAGCCUGUGUUUGUAAAUAAAGUUUUAUUGGAACAAAGCCACACCCCUUAAUCGAAGAUGAUCUGUGGCUACUUUCACACCACAACAGAGUACCAUGGUUCUGACAGAGACUAGGAGACACAGUCUAAAUGACUUCUGACCUGGACCUUUACUGAAAAUCCUGCCAAUCA